CCCCGCACUGACGUGCGGGGUUAGUGAAUUCCGUCCCCUUCGGGGACU
rnacentral:sRNA from 1 species